rnacentral:rRNA from 1 species
GACGAACGCUGGCGGCGUGCCUAAUACAUGCAAGUUGAGCGCUGAAGGUUGGUACUUGUACCAACUGGAUGAGCAGCGAACGGGUGAGUAACGCGUGGGGAAUCUGCCUUUGAGCGGGGGACAACAUUUGGAAACGAAUGCUAAUACCGCAUAAAAACUUUAAACACAAGUUUUAAGUUUGAAAGAUGCAAUUGCAUCACUCAAAGAUGAUCCCGCGUUGUAUUAGCUAGUUGGUGAGGUAAAGGCUCACCAAGGCGAUGAUACAUAGCCGACCUGAGAGGGUGAUCGGCCACAUUGGGACUGAGACACGGCCCAAACUCCUACGGGAGGCAGCAGUAGGGAAUCUUCGGCAAUGGACGAAGGUCUGACCGAGCAACGCCGCGGGAGGGAAGAAGGUUUUCGGAUCGUAAAACUCUGUUGGUAGAGAAGAACGUUGGUGAGAGUGGAAAGCUCAUCAAGUGACGGUAACUACCCAGAAAGGGACGGCUAACUACGUG